rnacentral:rRNA from 1 species
AGAUUGAACGCUGGCGGCAGGCCUAACACAUGCAAGUCGAGCGGUAGAGAGGUGCUUGCAUCUCUUGAGAGCGGCGGACGGGUGAGUAAUGCCUAGGAAUCUGCCGUAGUGGUGGGGGAUAACGUUCGGAAACGGACGCUAAUACCGCAUACGUCCUAACGGGAGAAAGCGGGGGACCUUCGGGCCUCGCGCCAUUAGAUGAGCCUAGGUCGGAUUAGCUAGUUGGUGAGGUAAUGGCUCACCAAGGCGACGAUCCGUAACUGGUCUGAGAGGAUGAUCAGUCACACUGGAACUGAGACACGGUCCAGACUCC